AUGGCCCAGGUAUUUAUUAUUCCCUCUGGUUCCACCCUCGGUCCAGGCAUCCCUCUGGGUCCACUCUAUGGCCCAGGUAUUUAUUAUUCCCUCCCGAUUCUUAUAGGCCCUAGGGUCUCAAGGGUAUUUUUCCACCAUGCAACGAGCCUAGUUUUUUCCUCUGGUUCCACCCUCGGUCCAGGCAUCCCUCUGGGUCCACUCUAUGGCCCAGGUAUUUAUUAUUCCCUCUGGUUCCACCCUCGGUCCAGGCAUCCCUCUGGGUCCACUCUAUGGCCCAGGUAUUUAUUAUUCCCUCUGGUUCCACCCUCGGUCCAGGCAUCCCUCUGGGUCCACUCUAUGGCCCAGGUAUUUAUUAUUCCCUCUGGUUCCACCCUCGGUCCAGGCAUCCCUCUGGGUCCACUCUAUGGCCCAGGUAUUUAUUAUUCCCUCUGGUUCCACCCUCGGUCCAGGCAUCCCUCUGGGUCCACUCUAUGGCCCAGGUAUUUAUUAUUCCCUCUGGUUCCACCCUCGGUACAGGCAUCCCUCUGGGUCCACUCUAUGGCCCAGGUAUUUAUUAUUCCCUCUGGUUCCACCCUCGGUCCAGGCAUCCCUCUGGGUCCACUCUAUGGCCCAGGUAUUUAUUAUUCCCUCUGGUUCCACCCUCGGUCCAGGCAUCCCUCUGAGUCCACUCUGUGGCCCAGGCAUUUAUUACUUUGGCCAUCGGUAGUCUUGUAUCACUAUGACCGAUUCUUAUAGGCCCUAUGGUCUCGAGGGUAUUCUUUCACCAUGCAACGAGCCGAUAUUCGAUGUGUCACGCAUUCAGGGUCAAUCGGGUUUUAUGGGGAAAUGCUGGGGUGUAGUCCUAUUCGUCCCCACGAGAUAUCCCGUAGCGAACCGUUCUCACAGUCUCACCUCCUAAUGUGGUUCCUAUAUAACUAUGCAGAGUUUGGAUUUUAUCAACAGGUUCUGCCUACCUUUUGUUGGGCGUACGCGAGGUGAGACUGCAGGAAUCGGUCCGGUGCUCCGGGGUCCCGAGGCCGUGCCGCUCUCCGUCUCUCGUUUCCCAGUUGCGGUCCAAUUCAGAAAAAAUCACGUCGUGGGUCACCAAAUUGAAGGGAAAAACGGUCUGUCUAGUUACUGGACCAAAUGAAAUGAGACGGAGAGGUAAUAAAGUCUGUCGGCACGAGGACCUUGGAUUUAUUAAGUAAAGUGGCAACGGUUAUACAGAGUCAUAAGCGUGAGAAAUCGAAUAUGUCUAAGUCCCUAAUCAGCGCUGAUGGUUCGUCCGGAGCUUCGCCUCCGUGGAAGGUCUGCUUCAGAAGAAGGUGAAGAGUCUCAGUGUGAUACAGUCUUAUGCUGUAUCUCCUCGUGAUGAGGUGUGUGCGUUUGAGAUGUGUGUGGUUCUGUGUGUUUUUACUUGACCUUGGCUCCCAGGCACUAGUGUAUGCAUGUAUAUCUUCUUGUGUUCCUCCUCACGGGGAAGAGCUUCAGAGCAUCUCCUGUUGUGGCCCUCCCGUUCUUGAGGAUGACUGGUGCAUUGUCUGAGUGUCUACCAUCUGCCGGGAGGAGAAAUGGGGCCCUGGCUCCGGCCCUGACCUGACUAUAUUCUCAUGUAUGUGUUAUGUGUUAAAAGUUGACUAUAUUAUAAGGUGACUGCCAUGUGAUGUGCUCAUUAAGCUAGGGUAGGAGUUAGCUAUAUUUAUAAUGUACAUGUGAUGUACUCAGCAGGUUAUUUUGCCCAACAAUCCCCGGCUUAAGUAGGGGACGUUGAUCGAAGAUCGCGAACAGGUGUGCAGAGGAGGUGAGGCCCAAUGGCACCAGGCGGCCACUAGAUGGGGGUGUUGGACCGUGUGACAGGCCGUGGCGUGACAUAAUCGCGAGCAAUCGCGAUUAAUCGCAAUUCUUUUUUCUAUGCUAAAUAUCCCUUGAUUUCUUUGUCCCAUAAAUUUUUCUAAUUGUAAUGCUCUUAUCAACUUGGAGAAGUGCAUCGGCUUGCCUUGUGCAAAUGUUUUUUAUUGAUAACAACAUUGACAUAUAUUGAUCAAAACAGGACGACAUUAAAGUGAGUGUUCACAAAAAGUGAGUGAUGGCACAACAACAGGAGGGUAACAGGGAUUUAUGAGAUGGUAUCAAAAAGAACCUGGGGCCUAUGGCUGUUUUUGGACACAAGGUUGGAAAUUAAUUGUGUUUUCGUAGAUUUAACGGCUUUCUGGCAUUCAGUUCAAUUGUCUCUUAAAAUCCCAAGGGAGCAGUGUUAAUUUUGUCAGCUAUUUUAGAUUUAGUCUUAGUCUUAGUCUUUUGAUGAAAAUGCUUAGUAUAUUUAGUCACAUUUUAGUCAUUGUUUUCCUUUGUAGUUUUAGUCUAGUUUUAGUCGACGAAAAGUCCUUACAUUUUAGUCAACUUUUAGUCAUUACUUUUAGUCAAAAUGUUUUCUCUUUUUAAACUAGUUCAAUUAGGCUAACCCUAUAUAGGCUAUAUGGACACCUGCUAAGUUGUUCCACUCAAAUAGAGUACUAAAGUGAAAACGUUACGUUGUCCUGGCAACCGGAUUUUCAGUUCUAAACAACCGAACGAGAGAUGGCCUUCUCCAUUGCUUCCAUGUGUUGUUUCUUUCAAAAUUAAAAUAAAUCAAUUUCAAGAGGUGAAAAUCACUACCAAUCGAAAAAUGUCGAGGCGUUCAUGUAUUCCCCUGGGGUAUUAAAAGGAAAAGUUUGUAAACGUUAGUUUAGUUUCGUUUUUUUUUUAAUAUGAAGACAAUCUAUUCUUAAUAUUACUUACAUCAUUGGUAAAGCAAACUCACAAAUCAAUUCGCAAAAAGAUUGUCCCUUUAUAAAAGGUUCGUGUGGCAUAGGAUUUCCCCUUGUUAAUUUGGUUUGUGUAGAACCGAAAAUCUGUUGCUCUCGAAACGUGACGUCACACUUUAGUACUCUUGUCUGUUCAGCCUUCAAAACAUGCAUGGCGGCAGGAUUUUUUCUCUCCCGGUGCUAAGGGGGGGCUUGACCGAUACGUGGGGUAGCUAAGAAAAUAAUUGAUUUUCAUGACGACACUUACUUUAUAAAGAGGUUCUUGGUUUUUUUCUUCAAUAAAAGAAGCUAUGAUACACAGCACGAGAAUGUAAUACAAGGGGCAAUGGCGGAAAUGUUUCACGUGCGUGCAAAGGUGACAUUCAGCUCCGGACAGCGACCAUGCGCCUGCCCAUAACCAGACAAUACAUCCAAAAUGCAACAAGUAUUUAUUUCAUAUGCAUAAUAAAUUAAAACAAACAACUAUGCAUUGACAAUAUUGUCU
ensembl:lncRNA